rnacentral:rRNA from 1 species
ACGAACGCUGGCGGCGUGCUUAACACAUGCAAGUCGAACGGGUCAUCUCGAGCUUGCUCGGGGUGGUGAGUGGCGAACGGGUGAGUAACACGUGAGCAACCUGCCCUCCUCUCUGGGAUAAGCCUUGGAAACGGGGUCUAAUACCGGAUAUUCACUUGCUCCUGCAUGGGGGUGGGUGGAAAGUUUUUGCGGUGGGGGAUGGGCUCGCGGCCUAUCAGCUUGUUGGUGGGGUGAUGGCCUACCAAGGCGAUGACGGGUAGCCGGCCUGAGAGGGCGACCGGCCACACUGGGACUGAGACACGGCCCAGACUCCUACGGGAGGCAGCAGUGGGGAAUAUUGCACAAUGGGCGAAAGCCUGAUGCAGCGACGCCGCGUGCGGGAUGACGGCCUUCGGGUUGUAAACCGCUUUCGGCAGGGAAGAAGCUUUCGGGUGACGGUACCUGCAGAAGAAGCGCCGGCUAACUACGU